rnacentral:rRNA from 1 species
GACGAACCGUCCUAACGUUAUUCGGAAUCACUGGGCUUAAAGGGCGCGUAGGCGGACGAGCAAGUCCGGAGUGAAAUCCUCCGGCUUAACCGGAGAAGUGCUUUGGAUACUGCUCGUCUUGAGGGAGGUAGGGGCAUGUGGAACUUCUGGUGGAGCGGUGAAAUGCGUUGAUAUCAGAAGGAACGCCGGUGGCGAAAGCGACGUGCUGGCCCUCUUCUGACGCUGAGGCGCGAAAGCGUGGGGAGCGAACAGG